UACUGGGUGUACCUCCUGGGUAGUUUGGAAAUCACCUAAUAUAUAUAUGUAUAUAUUUAUAAAUAAAAGUUAAUAUAUAUAAAUUAACAUUAAUUUUUUUUAACAGGAAAUGCACAAUGCUAAAAACUGCGUAGGAGAUUUUAAUACAAUAGUACUACCAAGCCUGAUGUUGGCCGCUAUUUCAAUGAAUGCAGCAGUGUCACAGCUAGCAAUCAAAAGUAACAAGAUAUUGAGGAAAUGCAGAUGGCAAUAAACUGUGUAGGAGUUCAUGAUUGCAAUAGAAUAAAAUCGACCAAGCCUGAAGUCAGCAGCCCCUUCAAUGAAUGCAGCAGUGUGACAGCCAGCAAUCAAAAGUUACAAGAUAUCGAGGAAAUGCAGAUGGCAAUAAACUGUGUAGGAGUUUAUGAUUGCAAUAGAAUAAAAUCGACCAAGCCUGAAGUCAGCAGCCCCUUCAAUGAAUGCAGCAGUGUGACAGCCAACAAUCAAAAGUUACAAGAUAUCGAGGAAAUGCAGAAGGCAAAAAACUGCGUAGGAGAUCAUUAAUACAAAAGUAUUAUAUAAACCAAACCUGAUGUUGCCAGCUCCUUCAAUGAAUGCAGCAGUGUGACAGCCAGCAAUCAAAAGUAACAAGAUAUCGAGGAAAUGCAGAAGGCAAAAAACUGCGUAGGAGAUCAUUAAUACAAUAGUAUUAUAUAAACCAAGCCUGAUGUUGGCCGCUCAUUCAAAGAAUGCAGCAGUGUGACAGCCAGCAAUCAAAAGUAACAAGAUGUCGAGGAAAUGCAGAGUGCAAUAAACUGUGUAGGAGAUUAUGAUUGCAAUAGAAUAAAAUCGACCAAGCCUGAAGUUCUUCAAUGCACGCAGCAGUGUGACAGCCAGCAAUCAAAAGUUACAAGAUAUCGAGGAAAUGCAGAAGGCAAAAAACUGCGUAGGAGAUUAU